GGCUGUCUCUUCUGAGCCUCUAUUGUUUCAUCUGUACAAUGGGGACAGCUAUGCCUGCAGUGGGACCAGAGGCCUUCAGGGAACAGAGGCUACGCUGAGACUCAACACCUCCCCACAGGCUAAGGGACUCCAUGUCUGAGUGUCCCUGUCCAUCUGUCUGCUGUGUGUCAGCCUUGGUCCUCCUGGGGUCAGAAGGGUGGAGGUGGGCUGCAAUUGUAUACUGGGGGUGAAGCUGCCUGGGAGCUGAAGCUGCCUCCCCCGCAGUGUGGGCUGCCCUCCAGGGUGCCAGGACCCAGCUCCGAGAUGUCCGGGCCAAGAAGGACCAGCUGGAGGCGCACAUCCAGGCGGCGCAGGCCAUGCUUGCCAUGGACACAGACGAGACAAGCAAGAAGAUCGCACAUGCCAAGGCUGUGGCUGCUGAAGCCCAGGACACCGCCACCCGUGUGCAGUCCCAGCUGCAGGCCAUGCAGGAGAAUGUGGAGCGGUG
rnacentral:lncRNA from 1 species